AUUGAACGCUGGCGGCAUGCCUUACACAUGCAAGUCGAACGGCAUCGCGGGAAAGCUUGCUUUCCUGGCGGCGAGUGGCGAACGGGUGAGUAACACAUCGGAACGUACCGGCUAGUGGGGGAUAACCCGUCGAAAGACGGGCUAAUACCGCAUACGCUCUUCGGAGGAAAGCAGGGGACCUUUGGGCCUUGCGCUAGCCGAGCGGCCGAUGUCCGAUUAGCUAGUUGGUGGGGUAAAGGCCUACCAAGGCAACGAUCGGUAGCGGGUCUGAGAGGACGAUCCGCCACACUGGGACUGAGACACGGCCCAGACUCCUACGGGAGGCAGCAGUGGGGAAUCUUGGACAAUGGGGGCAACCUUGAUCCAGCAAUGCCGCGUGGGUGAAGAAGGCCUUCGGGUUGUAAAGCCCUUUCGGCAGGGAAGAAAUCGGCGGGGCGAAUAACCCUGCUGGAUGACGGUACCUGCAGAAGAAGCCCCGGCUAACUACGUG
rnacentral:rRNA from 1 species